rnacentral:rRNA from 1 species
UCUAAGCAGAGCCCUUGAAUGGUAAAGCCGCGAAUGGCUCAUUACAACAGCCACAGUUUAUUGGGUCUCCAUUUACUUGGAUAACUGAGCUAAUUGUUGAGCUAAUACACGCACCAAAGCUUCGACCUCACGGGAGGAGCGCAUUUAUUAGAACAAAACCAAUCGGACUUCGGUCCGUCCAUUGGUGAAUCUAAAUAACUUAGCCGAUCGCAUGGUCUCGCACCGGCGACUCACCUUUCAAAUGUCUGCCUUAUCACCUUUCGAUGGUAGUUUAUACGCCUACCAUGGGUUUUACGGGUAACGGAGAAUAAGGGUUCGACUCCGGAGAGGGAGCCUGAGAAACGGCUACCACAUCCAAGGAAGGCAGCAGCCACGCAAAUUACCCACUCCCGGCACGGGGAGGUAGUGACGAAAAAUAACGAGGCGGUUCUCUAUGAGGCCCGCCAUCGGAAUGGGUACAAUCUAAA